rnacentral:rRNA from 1 species
AUUCAGAGAUGGAUUUGUGCCUUCGGGAACCGUGAGACAGGUGCUGCAUGGCUGUCGUCAGCUCGUGUUGUGAAAUGUUGGGUUAAGUCCCGCAACGAGCGCAACCCUUAUCCUUUGUUGCCAGCGGUCCGGCCGGGAACUCAAAGGAGACUGCCAGUGAUAAACUGGAGGAAGGUGGGGAUGACGUCAAGUCAUCAUGGCCCUUACGACCAGGGCUACACACGUGCUACAAUGGCGCAUACAAAGAGAAGCGACCUCGCGAGAGCAAGCGGACCUCAUAAAGUGCGUCGUAGUCCGGAUUGGAGUCUGCAACUCGACUCCAUGAAGUCGGAAUCGCUAGUAAUCGUGGAUCAGAAUGCCACGGUGAAUACGUUCCCGGGCCUUGUACACACCGCCCGUCACACCAUGGGAGUGGGUUGCAAAAGAAGUAGGUAGCUUAACCUUCGGGAGGGCGCUUACCACUUUGUGAUUCAUGACUGGGGUGAAGUCGUAACAAGGUAACCGUAGGGGAACCUGCGGUUGGAUCACCUCCUUACCUGAAAGAA